rnacentral:lncRNA from 1 species
UGAAGGUUCUGGAAGUGGGAGUGAAUGGAGAGCAGUUCCUGCUUUCUAAGGGCACAAGGAAGCAGGGCCAGACUGGCAAAUAGACAAGAGCUUUCCGUGAGGGCUGCUGCAUCGAGGGGCCAGAGGGAAGGGGCCCUGCUGCAUUAAUAGCACAAUGCCCUGGGAGAUUGGCAAGGCAGGUGGUAGGACUUACUCCCCUGAGCAGCUGAAGAAAUGGAAGCAAAGGUGGUCAAGCCACUUGCCCAAGGCCUCACAGCCCCGGGAGCUGACCCCGGAGGUUGGGUUGGUGGACACCCGACCUCAUUCCCAGUCCCUCAGCUCUGUCCCCUCUCUGCCUGCCCACAUACCACACCCUCCUCCUGCGAGGCUAGUGCAUCACACCAACCCCCAGUUCUUCCUCUGGCCAUCCCCAUGUCUUUUUCCUUUCUCCAGAUUUUGUAUUACAAGAACUGCUCUGAUAGGUUAAAACCUUCUAACAGAAGCGAAACCAGUACAGGACAUGCAGCUUCUUACACAUUCCCUAUUGGGGUAAGAUUUAUCACUCCCAGCUGAAUGUUUGAGCUUUCAAUAAUAUCUGGGUGCACAGUUUUGGAGGAACUUGAUAUAUGAGAAAAUGACCCAAGACAUUUAUCUUUCUAAUGUUCUCAAGGGUUAAAAGCUACUUCUAAUGUAAAUUAGGAAACAUCUAGACCUUGGCACUAUCCUAGAUUUGACAUCACCCUUCACCACGGAAGACGUGUUCCCCAGGAGGCAGUUUUCCCUGUGGAGUGAGCUGCAGGUGUCUGAGACCCGCAUCUCCAUCUCCUGUCUGCACCUGCAUCUGUGCUUCUUGAGG